UACGUAGGGACCAAGCGUUGUUCGGAUUUACUGGGCGUAAAGGGCGCGUAGGCGGCAAUUCAAGUCAGUUGUGAAAUCUCCGAGCUUAACUCGGAACGGUCAACUGAUACUGCUUUGCUAGAGUCAGAAGGGGGCAAUCGAAAUUCUUGGUGUGCGGUGAAAUGCGUAGAUAUCAAGAGGAACACCUGAGGUGAAGACGGGUUGCUGGGCUGAUACUGACGUGGAGGCGCGAAAAGCUAGGGUAGC
rnacentral:rRNA from 1 species